rnacentral:rRNA from 1 species
CAGCAGCCACGGUAAUACAGAGGGUGCAAGCGUUAAUCGGAAUUACUGGGCGUAAAGCGCGCGUAGGUGGUUUGUUAAGUUGGAUGUGAAAUCCCGGGCUCAACCUGGGAACUGCAUCCAAAACUGGCAAGCUAGAGUAUGGUAGAGGGUGGUGGAAUUUCCUGUGUAGCGGUGAAAUGCGUAGAUAUAGGAAGGAACACCAGUGGCGAAGGCGACCACCUGGACUGAUACUGACACUGAGGUGCGAAAGCGUGGGGAGCAAACAGGAUUAGAUACCCGGGUAGUCCCUGUCUCUUAUACA